AGUAAGUAACUCAGAAAUUUUCAAGAAAGUAAUCAGAGUAAAUUGCUGAUCUGCCGUUAUGGAUGGAUACAGAUGUCUCUUCCUACAAGAAGCAGGCCCAUCUGGGUAUACUGCAGCUUCACUGCUCUGUGAAAGCUUCCUGCUGAACACAACACAGCUAACUCUAGAGCAAAUUGAAUAAUUCUGCCCUGAGAUAUACCACACUUUGUCUCCUUGUUGAUAUUGACUCUUGAAUCUGCCUCCUACCUCAAGGCCUUUCCAAGUAUAUGCUGGCCAAAAAUCAAACAUUUAAGGUUGGGAGGAAUAUCAAACAGCUUUCUUAAAUCUCCCUGUGCUUAAAGUGGCACUGCUGCUCACUGUCCUGCAUAAAAACAAGGCCCUCACACAUACAUAAUGAUCAUGAUUGAUAUCUUCAGGCUUCAUCCAUUGGCCUCCUCUGUAAUUUGUAAACUGAGAGAAACCCACAGGAUGACGGUGUUAAUGAGAAAGGAGACAAGGAUUACAU